rnacentral:tRNA from 1 species
AGAGGCCUGGCUAAGCAGUAAGAGUGCCUGCCUAGUAAGCUGGAGGCCCAGAGUUCAAACCCCAGUACCUCUU